rnacentral:tRNA from 1 species
GCGCCCGUCGCCAAGCGGCUAAGGCAAUCGCCUGCAGAGCGAUCAUUACGAGGGUUCGAGUCCCUCCGGGCGCU